rnacentral:rRNA from 1 species
CCCCGUUAUGGGAUGAACUAAGCCAUGCGAGUCAUUGUAGUAAUACAAGGCAGACGGCUCAGUAACGCGUACUCUACCUAACCUAUGGACGGGAAUAACCUCGGGAAACUGAGCAUAAUGCCCGAUAGAACACUAUGCCUGGAAUGGUUUGUGUUCCAAAUGAUUUAUCGCCGUAGGAUGGGACUGCGCCCUAUCAGUUUGUUGGUGAGGUAAUGGCCCACCAAGACUAUUACAGGUACGGGCUCUGAGAGGAGUGGCCCGGAGAUGGGUACUGAGACACGGACCCAGGUCCUAUGGGGCGCAGCUAGCGAGAAAACUUUGCUAUGUGCGAAAGCACGACAAGGUUAAUCCGAGUGUUUUCUGCUAAAGAGACCUUUUGUCGGCCUAGAACCACCGAUUGAUAAGGGUUGGUCAAGUUCUGUUGGCCCCCGCGCCGGUAAACCCAGCCCCUCAAGUGGCCAGGAGAUAUUUGGGCCUAAGCAUUCGGAGCCGGGUUGUUAGUUUCCGGUUAAUCUGGUCGCUCCAAGUACAGGGCUGCCGGAAUACUGCCAAGGUUUGGAGUGGGAGAGGUAGACCGUACUCGGUAAGAAGGGGAAAAUUCUUUUAUCCUUUUGUGACCCCUUGUGGGGAAGGCGGCUAACAAAACACCUCCCAAAGGGAGGGAUGAAACUGGGGGAUCCACCGGGUUAAAAACCCGGGUAGUCCCCCCUGUUAACUUUCCAAAUCCAUGGUGGCUUGGCUGUGAGCCAUAGUAAGGUUCCAGGGAACCCUUAGGUUGCCCCCGGGAAGCUCGUCCGCAAG